rnacentral:rRNA from 1 species
GAUGAACGCUGGCGGCGUGCCUAAUACAUGCAAGUCGAGCGAACAGACGAGGAGCUUGCUCCUCUGACGUUAGCGGCGGACGGGUGAGUAACACGUGGAUAACCUACCUAUAAGACUGGGAUAACUUCGGGAAACCGGAGCUAAUACCGGAUAAUAUCUUGAACCGCAUGGUUCAAUAGUGAAAGACGGUUUUGCUGUCACUUAUAGAUGGAUCCGCGCCGCAUUAGCUAGUUGGUAAGGUAACGGCUUACCAAGGCAACGAUGCGUAGCCGACCUGAGAGGGUGAUCGGCCACACUGGAACUGAGACACGGUCCAGACUCCUACGGGAGGCAGCAGUAGGGAAUCUUCCGCAAUGGGCGAAAGCCUGACGGAGCAACGCCGCGUGAGUGAUGAAGGUCUUCGGAUCGUAAAACUCUGUUAUUAGGGAAGAACAAAUGUGUAAGGAACUAUGCACGUCUUGACGGUACCUAAUCAGAAAGCCACGGCUAGCUACGUG